CUUGCAGGACGGAAAAGCUCUACCGAACGGUCCUGUAGUCAUUUCACCAGACGGGUUGUUUCCAGCAUUGUACCGUGAAGUAAUAAGAAGAGCACCUCACGAAUUCAAGAUCGCAUGUUUGGAGGAUAUCAAGAAGCUUUUCCCAGAGCACUAUAACCCGUUCUACGCUGGAUUUGGAAACAGAGACACUGAUGACCUGAGUUACAGCAAACUCGGAAUCCCCAAGGGAACGAUAUUCAUAAUCAACCCAAAGGGAGAGGUAGCAGCAGGACAUCGAGUAGAUGUCAAGAAGUCUUACACAUCACUUCAUUACUCAUUUUAAUUGAUAGUUGUGAACUCCAUCUGACUCAAAAAAAUGGUUUAGGGUGGCUCAAAACCAAGACAUUUCUGCCAUGGUCAAUGCAUUUGAGGUGACA